GCGCCUGUAGCUCAAUUGGAAAGAGCACAUGCCUUCUAAGCAUGGGGCUGGCCGUUCGAUUCGGCCCAGGCGCGCCA
rnacentral:tRNA from 2 species